rnacentral:rRNA from 1 species
GAACCAGUGCGCCGCGCUACACAGGCGCACGGGUGCGUAACGCGUGGGAAUCUGCCCCUCGGUUCGGAACAACAGUUAGAAAUGACUGCUAAUACCGGAUGAUGACGUAAGUCCAAAGAUUUAUCGCCGAGGGAUGAGCCCGCGUAGGAUUAGCUAGUUGGUGUGGUAAAGGCGCACCAAGGCGACGAUCCUUAGCUGGUCUGAGAGGAUGAUCAGCCACACUGGGACUGAGACACGGCCCAGACUCCUACGGGAGGCAGCAGUGGGGAAUAUUGGACAAUGGGCGAAAGCCUGAUCCAGCAAUGCCGCGUGAGUGAUGAACGCCUUACGGUUGUAAAGCUCUUUUACCCGGGAUGAUAAUGACAGUACCGGGAGAAUAAGCUCCGGCUAACUCCGUGCCAGCACCCGCGUAAU